rnacentral:rRNA from 1 species
AGAGUUUGAUCCUGGCUCAGGAUGAACGCUAGCUACAGGCUUAACACAUGCAAGUCGAGGGGCAGCAUGGUCUUAGCUUGCUAAGGCCGAUGGCGACCGGCGCACGGGUGAGUAACACGUAUCCAACCUGCCGUCUACUCUUGGACAGCCUUCUGAAAGGAAGAUUAAUACAAGAUGGCAUCAUGAGUCCGCAUGUUCACAUGAUUAAAGGUAUUCCGGUAGACGAUGGGGAUGCGUUCCAUUAGAUAGUAGGCGGGGUAACGGCUCACCUAGUCUUCGAUGGAUAGGGGUUCUGAGAGGAAGGUCCCCCACAUUGGAACUGAGACACGGUCCAAACUCCUACGGGAGGCAGCAGUGAGGAAUAUUGGUCAAUGGGCGAGAGCCUGAACCAGCCAAGUAGCGUGAAGGAUGACUGCCCUAUGGGUUGUAAACUUCUUUUAUAAAGGAAUAAAGUCGGGUAUGCAUACUCGUUUGCAUGUACUUUAUGAAUAAGGAUCGGCUAACUCCGUGCCAGCAGCCGCGGUAAUACGGAGGAUCCGAGCGUUAUCCGGAUUUAUUGGGUUUAAAGGGAGCGUAGAUGGAUGUUUAAGUCAGUUGUGAAAGUUUGCGGCUCAACCGUAAAAUUGCAGUUGAUACUGGAUAUCUUGAGUGCAGUUGAGGCAGGCGGAAUUCGUGGUGUAGCGGUGAAAUGCUUAGAUAUCACGAAGAACUCCGAUUGCGAAGGCAGCCUGCUAAGCUGCAACUGACAUUGAGGCUCGAAAGUGUGGGUAUCAAACAGGAUUAGAUACCCUGGUAGUCCACACGGUAAACGAUGAAUACUCGCUGUUUGCGAUAUACAGCAAGCGGCCAAGCGAAAGCGUUAAGUAUUCCACCUGGGGAGUACGCCGGCAACGGUGAAACUCAAAGGAAUUGACGGGGGCCCGCACAAGCGGAGGAACAUGUGGUUUAAUUCGAUGAUACGCGAGGAACCUUACCCGGGCUUAAAUUGCAGAUGAAUUACGGUGAAAGCCGUAAGCCGCAAGGCAUCUGUGAAGGUGCUGCAUGGUUGUCGUCAGCUCGUGCCGUGAGGUGUCGGCUUAAGUGCCAUAACGAGCGCAACCCUUGUUGUCAGUUACUAACAGGUUCCGCUGAGGACUCUGACAAGACUGCCAUCGUAAGAUGUGAGGAAGGUGGGGAUGACGUCAAAUCAGCACGGCCCUUACGUCCGGGGCUACACACGUGUUACAAUGGGGGGUACAGAGGGCCGCUACCACGCGAGUGGAUGCCAAUCCCAAAAACCUCUCUCAGUUCGGACUGGAGUCUGCAACCCGACUCCACGAAGCUGGAUUCGCUAGUAAUCGCGCAUCAGCCACGGCGCGGUGAAUACGUUCCCGGGCCUUGUACACACCGCCCGUC